GACGAACGCUGGCGGCGUGCUUAACACAUGCAAGUCGAACGGAAAGGCCCUGCUUUUGUGGGGUGCUCGAGUGGCGAACGGGUGAGUAACACAUGAGUAACCUGCCCUUGACUUUGGGAUAACUUCAGGAAACUGGGGCUAAUACCGGAUAGGAGCUCCUGCUGCAUGGUGGGGGUUGGAAAGUUUCGGCGGUUGGGGAUGGACUCGCGGCUUAUCAGCUUGUUGGUGGGGUAGUGGCUUACCAAGGCUUUGACGGGUAGCCGGCCUGAGAGGGUGACCGGCCACAUUGGGACUGAGAUACGGCCCAGACUCCUACGGGAGGCAGCAGUGGGGAAUAUUGCACAAUGGGCGGAAGCCUGAUGCAGCAACGCCGCGUGCGGGAUGACGGCCUUCGGGUUGUAAACCGCUUUCGCCUGUGACGAAGCGUGAGUGACGGUAAUGGGUAAAGAAGCGCCGGCUAACUACGUG
rnacentral:rRNA from 1 species